ensembl:lncRNA
CCUGCCUGUGCGCCACGGGUCCUCGGGACCUCCAGCCCCUGAGGGCCGCGCCAGGAGUGGACCGCUCGCUUCCUUGGUCGAGGCUGUCGGCAUCUGCUUGGCCCGGUCUUCUGACCAAAGGUCGUCUGCCCUUUGUUCUACACCAUGCCCCGAACCUCUGUCUUCUCUCCAUUGCUUCCAGCAGCCUGAAUCUUCCUGAACAAAUUCCAGUCCCACUGCAGAUGUCGAGCUCUUCCAUCAGACAGAACGAACGCAUCUUCCAAAAAGUCAUCAAUACAACCAGAGGCAAAACUACACGGACAAAGAUUUAUUUUUAAAGCAGCUAAUUGAGUUUCCCCAAAUACUCCAUUCUAAUGAGGAUGAGAACCUGCAUGCUGUAUUUUUCUAUUUAAAUCCCACCUGUGCUAUAAGCCACAAAAAUACCAUAUAGUUACUGUGGACUCAUGGAUUGCGGUAGUCUGGAUCUGAGGUGUCCCUGAAAGCCCCACGUAUUAACAGCUUGGCUUGCUGUGUAGCACGGCUGGGAGAUAGUGGAACCCUUAGGAGGAAUCAGGACUCUUUGGACAAAAUGGCUUGUCCAAGGACCAAAGCAGAAAAUGCCUAAGAUGGGGCUGAAAGUAUGCGGCUGUUCAAAUAAUGGCUGACCCUCACAAGCUCAUCAAAUAUACAACUUGACCAAAUACAUGAUAUCGGCAAAUAAAUGGGAGAAAACUCUUCCUAAUAGCAAAAUGUCAAUACAAUAUAAAAGAAAUGAAAGAAAUAAGUCAUCUGAAAACCAUCAAAGUAAUAAUUCAGCUAAGAAAAUUAAAAGCAGAGAGCACUGAACAGUUUGAAUGCUGCCUCCACGGAAUACUUACGUAAAAGUAUUAACUGUAAAGAGAGUACCUUUGGAGGCCAUCACAGUCUCACCGGCAGUGGGACAAAUGGACCUCCUAGCCUUCUGCUAUGAUGUGCUGAGAAGAAGACAGCAUCAGCUCUGUAAUGUUUCAGCCAAAACUGCAUGCUCUGAAUCUAAUUAGGAAGCACCAUACAAACUCAAACUGAGGAGCUUCUAUGAAACAAUAACCUGUAAGCGUUAAAAAAAUUAAAGCCAUGAAGGUCAAGGAAGAACUAAGAAAUGGCUCUGAAUUGAAUGAAAAUUAAGAAAUGUGACACUAAGAGCAACAUGUGAUCUUGGUUUGGAUUCUCUUGCUAAAAAGAACUUAAUUGGGCAGCUGGAGAAACACGACUGGGGUCUUUGGGUGAAGAGUAUGUAGGAAUUAUUUGUGGAGAUCUUGCAGCCUUUUU